GUGCAGGAUUAGUUACAAUGCAGCUUGUGCGGUACUGCUUUGUCGUUCCCCCUGCAAACAACAAUCUGUUUCCAGCUAUCCCUGUCUGCCUAUUUCCUCCCGGUAACCAGGGACUCAAGGUCUCAGACAU